rnacentral:lncRNA from 1 species
CAAACUAGACAAGAAAAAAACUACAAGCAUAUUUCCAAGGAUUGACUAACAAGCAUAUAUAAGUAAAUGGACAUUUGAUUUUCUUCUCCAGAAAUGAUUAUAGAGAAAAUAGUUGUUCACUCCACAAAUAGCAGGUGAUUAUCUACAGCAUUUUUUAGUCGAACUUCAUAUGUAAACUUCAUAACCUUAGUCUGGGAAGCAAUUCAGCUCUAACUCACAGUUUCUAUUGAAGUUCAUCUGAACUUCAAAUUUAUGACCCUAAGAACGCAUCGACCUUAGCAUUUGUUCUCCUUGACAAAAACUUCAUGCAAAUGGGAGGUUUUACUCCUGCUAGAGCAAGUAUCGAACUAGGCAAAGUCCAUAUCCCGUCCCCACAAAUCAAACCAGAAGCCACUGCUGGCCCAAAAGCAUCUGCCUUUGCCUUGUCAAUCUUUUCCCAGAUAAAUAGAAUCAAGCUUCCCACACACAUGUCGAUGGCAAAGUAUGAGCCAAUAUAGAAAGGUAUAGCCAUUGCCAUUGGAUUGGGAAUGAACCUAGCCCGUUUCUUACCCAACACAUCCUUGAUCAAAUUUAUCAGAAUAGCUGCACCGAAGAACCAAUAACAAAGAUAGAGACAAUUCUUUGGUAGAGACGAGAAUCCUUCUACCCCCAAUAUAGCCAUGUUUCGAAAUACAGUAGCAUAAGGAGCAGGGUAUUGACUUCCAGGAGUCCCCAGAUCCUUGAAGGCCUUAAAAAAAAGCCAAAAUACACACGGGGAAAUCAUGCAACCCAUUGCAGUGCCAAUUAGUUGGCUCACAAACAUCGAACGUGGUGAAGAAAGGGUCAAAUAACCAGUCUUGAAAUCUUGAGAUAGGUCAGAGGCUGUGGAGACAAUAUUCAUCAUGACUCCACAGGCCGCUAGUCCUGCAAGAACUCCACCAUGAGAGCCACCAGCCCAUGCCCCAAUUACAAAAAUUGCAAGCGUCCCAUAGGUGGAAGCAAGGGACCAAUCAGUGAGUCCACAACCAUAAGCAUUACAGAAUGCAAGGGCUGGGGCAAAGAUGUAGAUAACCAAUAUGUAAUACCAUUUCAGUUCAGGAAAUAUAUGCGGAACGGUGGUUGUAGAAAUGGCAGCAAUUGUGACAUAACCUGCAACAGCAAACCAUGUUGGAAUUUGAUCUUUGAGAAAGAGGUGGGUGCGACGUUGCUCAUCAUAGGAGAUCCUGGAUGUCUCGGGAGAGGAACGGUCAGCAACAGGCAGAGCACCAGUUGCAUCUCUCCCACGAAGUUGAAAAAACAAUGCAGCGAGUGUUCGGCUUAGAACCUUGAAGAAGUUGUACAGACCGUCACCCAAGACCAAGGCAGUGGCAAUAAAUACCUGUGUUCAAUGCAUAAGCGUUGGUAUGAAAGAAAAGGCUUCAAGAAAAUGUUAAAAAUCAUGUAAUGGGCAUUCUUGUCACCUUAACCUUGUUAGAAAACUUACCUUGUAACCUUGGAGGCCAUGUAAGCUGCCUGGUUUGAGGUCUGCUGGAUACCAGUCACCCUUUUUUGUAUCUAUGAGAGGCCACAUGAGACCCCAGGAAAGAAUUCCUCCAAGCAAUACUGAUAUGUUUAUGAUAUAUGGGCAAAUCAUUCCAACUCCAACAUAUGUUGCUGAGAAAUCAAAGAAAAAUCUGCACAUGUAACAAGAACAUUAUUAGUCAAAGAUACCACAACGAAUUUGAAACAGAAUGCCAUAAUAAAUGGAACUACAUUCAACAAGAAGAGAGGAUUUUGGAAGAUUGAGUAAUGCUUUUACUUGUUUUCAUGUGCUUUAAGACCAAGUGAGGGGAACUCAGCGAAUCCACAACCAUCUCCUGCAGUGUAGAACCAUUGAAAGAAACCCCACAAGAAGCUGAAUGAGAAGAACUUGCCCAACACUCUCACUUGUUUCCUGUAACAGUAGAAUAACAAAGUUCGAUACUCUUUCAUGUCAAAUGAUCAUCCAUAUAAGUGCAUGAGGUCUCAUAAUGCCUUACUUUGCUAGCUUGGCUCCUGCAGGAGUGUGGAAGCUGUUGAUGAGAUGGGCAGUUGCAGUGCCACUUGGAUAUGUCAAUUUGAAGUCUAUAAUCAUGACCUGGAAAUAACCAGGGUAACAAUGAGGAUUAGUUUUUGGCAAAAUCAAUACACUAGGCAAAAAUGUAAAAUGCAGAGAAAAGUUUUAUAUUUCCUAUAAUCAUAUAAAGAAAUUGAAUGCUGAUAUAGGUUGUAAAGUCUACCUUUCGAAGAGGCACCGCCGAAAAGAGUCCAAGAAAGCUAACAACAAACAAAAAGCCAAUCAUCCAAGACAGAGAUGGAUUUUUAAAGGCAUCACUAUCUUCAGUUAAUUGUUUGGCCACGGUUUCACUCAUUCCAAACAGAUAACUCCCAAAGCCUCCUAUUAUAAGGAAACAAGGAAAAAAUUAUAGAAUGGAAACCAUUGGUACAAAAAUCAACAAGUUUAAUAUCAUCAUAAGCAUAAUCACAAAUUAGCCGUUUCAUUACAAUAAUUAAUUCAGUUUCGAAACAAGUUUGGCAAGUAAUCAGGCUUUUCUUGACUAUUUGGAUAAGUUAGAAACAUAAUGUAUUCAUCUUGACAUUAUGUUAAUGAUUCACAGUUAAAGAAAAGGUUUGAUUAAUAACUCAAGCUCACAACUAGCAUUCUAGAAACAGAUAUUAUUCACAUUUUCCUUUCUUUUACUAAUGGAGAAGACUUCUUUUUCCACAAAUCAGAAUAUUGUUAUAAGACUUCCUGACAUAAAUCUGAACUUAGUAAGUCAUCCAUAUCCAGCGCAUAUGAAUUGAACUGUCAAAAAAGUAUCUGUCAAGUGACAUACCAGCUGCACCCCUAACAUUAUCACACUCCAGGAGACAGAGAUAGAUUUGUUCAUGUCUCUAAUGGUAAGUUCAAGUGUUGAUUAGUUUAGCAAAACUUCACAAGUGGUAGUCAUAAAGCCUCAAUUUUGAUUUGUCUCUCAAAGACUUUAGGCAGUAAGAGAUUCUUUGUCUUCAAGGAUCAUGCAAAUCUACUCCCAUCUGAGAUAAAAGGGAUCCAGAGAGAGAAAAAUGGUUGCCUUAUCAUGUAAUCUAGCAAUUAGAAGAUGGAAAUCUUGACAUUGAAUUUUAGUAACUACUGUAAGUUUGCAACCUUUAAGAACAGAAACAAAACCAAAUGCACAGAAAUAUUAAUAUCUUGAUCAAAGAAACCUAGAUAUCUCCUCAACUUCGAAAGAAAAGAGAAAGAAAAUUGAAUUUCAAAAUAAUUAAGAAAGAUGAAAUGAAAAUUAAUGGCAGUAAACAGUAUAGAAAGUAUACCACUAAAGGCAAUGCCAGAGGAGGCAACCACGCAAGUCUGUAUUACAGUGUUCUCUUGCCUCGUAAAGGGUUGCUUCAAAAGUCCAGACUUUUCAAGAAACUUUGUCCAGGUCUUGAUAAAAAAGAAGCCCAGAAGGCCAGCAGAGACAUUGAGGGAAGGUAUGAUACCAGUUGUAAGAUUGAGCUUCAUUACUAUGACGCAGAACAAAAUGCUCAACACGAAGCUCACCACAAGGGCCCUCAGUGUCAGCUGAUUCCUCCAUGAUGGCACUUCUUGGUUCUCAAAUAUUCUUUCCACUGACAACUCUUCUUCUUGUUCCUCUUUCUUGUCCUUCUUUCUGUGACCAUGAUCAUCCUCCAAAUCAUGAUCAUUCUCUACCUUGGUGUCGUCUCUUUCAUUACGUUCCAUUUUAUUUUCUUAAAAGAAUGAUUCUUUAUGGAGACGAAGAGAGUUGGGAGCGUGUUUAAUAAGUGGUUGUGAUUAUUGCUCAACACAUCACAAGCAAAUUGAAUACGAUGAAUAUGAGGAGUUGUUAAAAGUUAAAACGGGUUGUUGUAGUGAGUUUAACCUGUCUGUUUUUUUGGGUUAUUUUUUUUAAUUUUAUUUAAUAUUUUUGAAUUAUUUUAAUAUAUUAAUAUUAAAAAUAAAUUUUAAAAUAUAAAAAAUAUAUUAUUUUGAUAGUUUUUAGCAAAAAUUAUUUUAAAAAACAUCUAUUAUUAUAUUUUUAAACACUCUUUAAAAUAACAAAAUGACUCUAAAUGACAUGUGUUUGAGUUAAGUUUGUAAUUUUUAUAUAUGUGAUCUGUAGGUACUUUUAAAGAAGUAGAUUAGAAAUAUAGUAGAAAUUAUUUUUAAAAUAAUCUCAAAAUAUUAUUUUAAUAUUUUUUUAAAUUAAAAAUAGAAAUUAUUUUCAAAACAAUUUGAAAAUAAAAAUAUUAAUUUUAAAAAGGAAUGUUUUAAACAAGUUACCAAAUGGCCACUGAAUCCAAUGCCAAAAGCUUCUAUUUCUAAUUUGUGGAAGACGAGAAGUCAAUAGUCAAUUUCCAAAAAAUUAAAAAAAAAAUAAAGGGAAAAUAAAAGAUCUGUGAAUGUCCAUUGUCCAAAGUUUGUGGGAAAAAAAAUGAUAUAAGAAAUAAAGAAAAUGAUAUUAAAUUACUUAAAGAAGCUAGACUAGAAUAUAGUAGAAUUUAUUUUUAAAUCAAUUUAAAAACACUAUUUUAAUAGUUUUUAAAUUAAAAAUAAUUUAAAAAAUAAUUAUUACUAAACUCCCAAAAACCUUUAAAACAAUAAUCAUGCAUAUGAUAUUUUUCAGCUUCUUUUCAUAUUCUUAGGACAAGCCUUCAACAUAUUUGUUACAAGUCUCAUAUUCGCUGAAGCUUUUAUCGUCUUCCUCGACGCAUCUGAUAUUUUUUCCAUCUUUUUUUUUCUCGUGUUGGAUAACUAAGUCUGGCAUGGUUUUAUUGUGAGACUGAUAAUAACACAGAUGCACAUUGGACCACCUGAUAUGAUCAUAGCUAGCAAAAUGAGCAAACCUGAUACCAAAUAUAGCAACUGAUCAUAACAGCUCACAAAGGGUACUGUAAUUUUCACUUUUCACAUUGCUUGAUGCAUCUGUUCUACUAUCUUCUUCAAACUAGACAAGAAAAAAAACUACAAGCAUAUAUAUAUAUAUAUAUAUAAGUAAAUGGACAUUUGAUUUUCUUCUCCAGAAAUGAUUACAGAGAAAAUAGUUGUUGCCUUGUUGGCUCCACGGAAUAGCAGGUGAUUAUCCACAGCAUUUUUGAGUCGAACUUCACAUGUAAACUUCAUAACCUUAGUGUAGGAAGCAAUUCAGCUUUACUUCACAGUUUCUAUUCAAGUUGAUCUGAACUUCAACUUUAUGACCCUAAGAACGCAUCGACCUUAGCAUUUGUUCUCCUUGACAAAAACUUCAUGCAAAUGGGAGGUUUUACUCCUACUAGAGCAAGUAUCGCACUAGGCAAAGUCCAUAUCCCAUCCCCGCAAAUCAAACCAGAAGCCACUGCUGGCCCAAAAGCAUCUGCCUUUGCCUUGUCAAUCUUUUCCCAGAUAAAUAGAAUCAAGCUUCCCACACACAUGUCGAUGGCAAAG